GUUCCUCUAUAAGUUAUCAGAACUAGAGAAAACUGGAGAGAAAUACUCAAAUCUGUUCAUCUGUGUUUUUUUCAGAUGGAAAAUGGAAAAUGUAGAUAUGCCCAGGAGCCCCCUGGCUUGUGGACUUAGCUUGCCUCCAGAAAAGUAAAGCAAGCAUGGCUGGGGAGGGACAUCUUCCUGACCGCUGUGCCUCUGAGAAGGGGAAAAAUGAUUUUUUUCUGAAAAUCCCAACUGAAGUCAGGGGACAUGAACUUGACACAUCUGACAGGUUGGGAGUUAUAUUUCUCCUAAAUAAUUUUGGAGAUCCCACUGAGAUAACUG
rnacentral:lncRNA from 1 species